ACGAACGCUGGCGGCGUGCUUAACACAUGCCAGUCGAACGGAAAGGCCCUGCUUUUGUGGGGUGCUCGAGUGGCGAACGGGUGAGUAACACGUGAGUAACCUGCCCUUGACUUUGGGAUAACUUCAGGAAACUGGGGCUAAUACCGGAUAGGAGCUCCUGCUGCAUGGUGGGGGUUGGAAAGUUUCGGCGGUUGGGGAUGGACUCGCGGCUUAUCAGCUUGUUGGUGGGGUAGUGGCUUACCAAGGCUUUGACAGGUAGCCGGCCUGAGAGGGUGACCGGCCACAUUGGGACUGAGAUACGGCCCAGACUCCUACGGGAGGCAGCAGUGGGGAAUAUUGCACAAUGGGCGGAAGCCUGAUGCAGCAACGCCGCGUGCGGGAUGACGGCCUUCGGGUUGUAAACCGCUUUCGCCUGUGACGAAGCGUGAGUGACGGUAAUGGGUAAAGAAGCACCGGCUAACUACGUG
rnacentral:rRNA from 1 species